GAUGAACGCUAGCGGGAGGCCUAACACAUGCAAGCCGACCGGUAUUGUUUCUUCGGAAAUGAGAGAGCGGCGUACGGGUGCGUAACACGUGUGCAACCUGCCUUUAUCUGGGGGAUAGCCUUUCGAAAGGAAGAUUAAUACUCCAUAAUAUAUUGAACGGCAUCGUUUAAUAUUGAAAGCUCCGGCGGAUAGAGAUGGGCACGCGCAAGAUUAGCUAGUUGGUGAGGUAACGGCUCACCAAGGCGAUGAUCUUUAGGGGGCCUGAGAGGGUGAUCCCCCACACUGGUACUGAGACACGGACCAGACUCCUACGGGAGGCAGCAGUGAGGAAUAUUGGUCAAUGGGUGCAAGCCUGAACCAGCCAUCCCGCGUGAAGGACGACUGCCCUAUGGGUUGUAAACUUCUUUUGUAUAGGGAUAAACCUACCCUCGUGAGGGUAGCUGAAGGUACUAUACGAAUAAGCACCGGCUAACUCCGUG
rnacentral:rRNA from 1 species